CGAAUGCUGACAUAAGUAACGAUAAAGCGGGUGAAAAGCCCGCUCGCCGGAAGACCAAGGGUUCCUGUCCAACGUUAAUCGGGGCAGGGUGAGUCGACCCCUAAGGCGAGGCCGAAAGGCGUAGUCGAUGGGAAACAGGUUAAUAUUCCUGUACUUGGUGUUACUGCGAAGGGGGGACGGAGAAGGCUAUGUUGGCCGGGCGACGGUUGUCCCGGUUUAAGCGUGUAGGCUGGUUUUCCAGGCAAAUCCGGAAAAUCAAGGCUGAGGCGUGAUGACGAGGCACUACGGUGCUGAAGCAACAAAUGCCCUGCUUCCAGGAAAAGCCUCUAAGCAUCAGGUAACAUCAAAUCGUACCCCAAACCGACACAGGUGGUCAGGUAGAGAAUACCAAGGCGCUUGAGAGAACUCGGGUGAAGGAACUAGGCAAAAUGGUGCCGUAACUUCGGGAGAAGGCACGCUGAUAUGUAGGUGAAGUCCCUCGCGGAUGGAGCUGAAAUCAGUCGAAGAUACCAGCUGGCUGCAACUGUUUAUUAAAAACACAGCACUGUGCAAACACGAAAGUGGACGUAUACGGUGUGACGCCUGCCCGGUGCCGGAAGGUUAAUUGAUGGGGUCAGCGCAAGCGAAGCUCUUGAUCGAAGCCCCGG
rnacentral:rRNA from 1 species